GAAGCCAAGCUUGCUUGGUGGAUCAGUGGCGAACGGGUGAGUAACACGUGAGCAACCUGCCCUGGACUCUGGGAUAAGCGCUGGAAACGGCGUCUAAUACUGGAUAUGAGCUCCUUCCGCAUGGUGGGGGUUGGAAAGAUUUUUCGGUCUGGGAUGGGCUCGCGGCCUAUCAGCUUGUUGGUGAGGUAAUGGCUCACCAAGGCGUCGACGGGUAGCCGGCCUGAGAGGGUGACCGGCCACACUGGGACUGAGACACGGCCCAGACUCCUACGGGAGGCAGCAGUGGGGAAUAUUGCACAAUGGGCGGAAGCCUGAUGCAGCAACGCCGCGUGAGGGAUGACGGCCUUCGGGUUGUAAACCUCUUUUAGCAGGGAAGAAGCGAAAGUGACGGUACCUGCAGAAAAAGCGCCGGCUAACUACGUGCCAGCAGCCGCGGUAAUACGUAGGGCGCAAGCGUUAUCCGGAAUUAUUGGGCGUAAAGAGCUCGUAGGCGGUUUGUCGCGUCUGCUGUGAAAUCCCGAGGCUCAACCUCGGGCCUGCAGUGGGUACGGGCAGACUAGAGUGCGGUAGGGGAGAUUGGAAUUCCUGGUGUAGCGGUGGAAUGCGCAGAUAUCAGGAGGAACACCGAUGGCGAAGGCAGAUCUCUGGGCCGUAACUGACGCUGAGGAGCGAAAGGGUGGGGAGCAAACAGGCUUAGAUACCCUGGUAGUCCACCCCGUAAACGUUGGGAACUAGUUGUGGGGACCAUUCCACGGUUUCCGUGACGCAGCUAACGCAUUAAGUUCCCCGCCUGGGGAGUACGGCCGCAAGGCUAAAACUCAAAGGAAUUGACGGGGACCCGCACAAGCGGCGGAGCAUGCGGAUUAAUUCGAUGCAACGCGAAGAACCUUACCAAGGCUUGACAUAUACGAGAACGGGCCAGAAAUGGUCAACUCUUUGGACACUCGUAAACAGGUGGUGCAUGGUUGUCGUCAGCUCGUGUCGUGAGAUGUUGGGUUAAGUCCCGCAACGAGCGCAACCCUCGUUCUAUGUUGCCAGCACGUAAUGGUGGGAACUCAUGGGAUACUGCCGGGGUCAACUCGGAGGAAGGUGGGGAUGACGUCAAAUCAUCAUGCCCCUUAUGUCUUGGGCUUCACGCAUGCUACAAUGGCCGGUACAAAGGGCUGCAAUACCGUAAGGUGGAGCGAAUCCCAAAAAGCCGGUCCCAGUUCGGAUUGAGGUCUGCAACUCGACCUCAUGAAGUCGGAGUCGCUAGUAA
rnacentral:rRNA from 1 species